rnacentral:rRNA from 1 species
GUGGGGAAUAUUGGACAAUGGGCGCAAGCCUGAUCCAGCCAUGCCGCGUGAGUGAUGAAGGCCUUAGGGUUGUAAAGCUCUUUCACCGAUGAAGAUAAUGACGGUAGUCGGAGAAGAAGCCCCGGCUAACUUCGUGCCAGCAGCCGCGGUAAUACGAAGGGGGCUAGCGUUGUUCGGAUUUACUGGGCGUAAAGCGCACGUAGGCGGUUUGUUAAGUCAGGGGUGAAAUCCCGGAGCUCAACUCCGGAACUGCCUUUGAUACUGGCAAGCUAGAGUCCGGAAGAGGUAAGUGGAACUCCUAGUGUAGAGGUGGAAUUCGUAGAUAUUAGGAAGAACGCCAGUGGCGAAGGCGGCUUACUGGUCCGGAACUGACGCUGAGGUGCGAAAGCGUGGGGAGCAAACAGGAUUAGAUACCCGAGUAGUCC